rnacentral:rRNA from 1 species
UACGUAGGGGGCAAGCGUUGUCCGGAAUCAUUGGGCGUAAAGAGCGCGUAGGCGGUCCGGUAAGUCCGCUCUGAAAGUCCGGGGCUCAACCCCGGAAAGCGGGCGGAUACUGUCGGGCUAGAGUCCGGAAGAGGCGAGUGGAAUUCCUGGUGUAGCGGUGAAAUGCGCAGAUAUCAGGAGGAACACCAAUGGCGAAGGCAGCUCGCUGGGACGUGACUGACGCUGAGACGCGAAAGCGUGGGGAGCAAACAGG